rnacentral:rRNA from 1 species
GCCGCGGUAAUACAGAGGGUGCAAGCGUUAAUCGGAAUUACUGGGCGUAAAGCGCGCGUAGGUGGUUAGUUAAGUUGGAUGUGAAAUCCCCGGGCUCAACCUGGGAACUGCAUUCAAAACUGACUGACUAGAGUAUGGUAGAGGGUGGUGGAAUUUCCUGUGUAGCGGUGAAAUGCGUAGAUAUAGGAAGGAACACCAGUGGCGAAGGCGACCACCUGGACUGAUACUGACACUGAGGUGCGAAAGCGUGGGGAGCAAACAGGAUUAGA